CUAGCUACUAGUGUAGCACACCCUCAUACUUUGCUUCUGACUGGCUAGUAGUCCUUACCUCGGUACUGCGCAUGUGCGACUCCCAACAAAGAUGGAAGUGUGAGGCUUCACUCUUUAGCUGAAACAGAGAGCUCAACACACAGGUUGAAAAGAAGAGCUGCACCAAUGUG